rnacentral:rRNA from 1 species
UUAAAGGGUGCGUAGGCGGGAAAUUAAGUCAGUGGUGAAAUCCUGCAGCUUAACUGUAGAACUGCCAUUGAUACUGGUUUCCUUGAGUAUAGUUGAAGUGGGCGGAAUGUGUAUUGUAGCGGUGAAAUGCUUAGAUAUUACACAGAACACCUAUUGCGAAGGCAGCUCACUAAACUAAUACUGACGCUGAGGCACGAAAGCGUGGGGAGCAAACAGGAUUAGAUACCCUGGUAGUCCACGCCGUANACGUUGAUUACUCGAUGUGUGCGAUACACUGUACGCGUCUGAGCGAANGCAUUAAGUAAUCCACCUGGGGAGUACGAUCGCAAGAUUGAAACUCAAAGGAAUUGACGGGGGCCCGCACAAGCGGAGGAACAUGUGGUUUAAUUCNAUGAUACGCGAGGAACCUUACCUGGGCUU